rnacentral:rRNA from 1 species
UACGUAGGGUGCGGAGCGUUAAUCGGAAUUACUGGGCGUAAAGCGUGCGCAGGCGGUUCGUUGUGUCGGUGGUGAAAUCCCCGGGCUUAACCUGGGAAUGGCCAUGGAAACUGGCGAACUGGAGUGCGGCAGAGGGGGGUGGAAUUCCGGCGUGUAGCAGUGAAAUGCGUAGAGAUGCGGAGGAACACCGAUGGCGAAGGCAGCCCCCUGGGCUAGCCACUGACGCUCAGGCACGAAAGCGUGGGGAGCAAACAGG